rnacentral:lncRNA from 1 species
CACCAAACUUUGGGUAACAAACACUUUAAACUUGUUUUUUUAGACAUUCAGUAAGCCCUUUCUCCCCCCUCCCCAAACCGUUUGAUUACAAAGAAGCACAAUGGGUUAACUGUGGCAAAACAUAAGAAAUAAGGCAGGGGAGGCAGGUGCAGCCUUGACAACAUAAGAAUAUCCAAACAAUGUUGUCAAUAUCAAAAGAAAAAAUCAAAACAUCUUUUAUAAUAUAAAAUAAAUCCAUAUAAUUAAGUACUAAUUAGGUGAAAUAACAUUAUAGGGUAUAUAACGUUUAUUUUCUCUAUUUAAAUUUGCAUAUCUUAAAUUUAUUUGUUUUUAUUUUAUUUUUUCCUGAGAUGGAGUCUCACUCUGUCACCCAGGCUAGAGUGUAGUGGCACAAUCUCAGCUCACUGCAACCUCUGCCUCCUGGGUUCAAGAAAUUCUCCUGCCUCAGCCUCCUGAAUAGCUGGGAUUACAGGCGUGCACUACCAUGCCCAGGCAUGAGCCACCUCGCCAAGCUGCAUAUCUUAAAUUUAAUGUGAAACAUCAUGUUUCAACUUCGACUUAAGAAUAUCAUGACAUACAGUUUUUGGUGAGUCUAGAUGUAAUGGAAUGAAUAUUUAAAUAGACUUCAAAGAUUUUAUCAAGGUUGUAUUUGGUUAUCAUUGCUUUAAGUCUUUAAUGCUUUUCUUUCUUUAUUGGACUAAGGAUCUCACUCUGUUGCCCUGGCUGGAGUGCAGUAGCAUGAUCAUGGCUCACCGCAGUCUCGACUUUCCUGGGCUCAGGUGAGUCUCCCACCUCAGCCUUCUAAGUAGCUGGGACUACAGGUGCGCAUCACCAUGACUG